ACCCGCACAAGCGGUGGAACAUGUGGUUUAAUUCGAUGAUCCGCGAAAAACCUUACCAGUUCUUGACAUCCCGAUUGCUAUUAUCAGAGAUGAUUUUGUCAGUUCGGCUGGAUCGGAGACAGGUGAUGCAUGGCUGUCGUCAGCUCGUGCCGUGAGGUGUUAGGUUAAGUCCUUUAACGAGCGCAACCCUUGUCCUUAUUUGCCAUUAGUUAUACUAGGAACUAUAAGGAAACUGCCAGUGAUAAACUGGAGGAAGGAGAGGAUGAUGAUUAGUCUUCAUGUCCCUUAUGGACUGGGCUACACACAUGUUACAAUGGGAGUUACAAUUAGUUACGAAAGAGUGAUCUGGAGUGAAUCUGUUAAAAGCUCUCUCAGUUCGGAUUGCAGGCUGCAACUCGCCUGCAUGAAGUUGAAAUCGCUAGUAAUCGUAGAUCAGCACGCUAC
rnacentral:rRNA from 1 species